GAUGAAGAACGCAGCGAAAUGCGAUAAAUAAUAUGAAUUGCAGAAUUCAGCGAAUCAUCGAGUCUUUGAACGCACAUUGCGCCCCCUGGUAUUCCGGGGGGCAUGCCUGUCCGAGCGUCAUUGCUGCCCUCAAGCACGGCUUGUGUGUUGGGCCCCGUCCUCCGAUCCCGGGGGACGGGCCCGAAAGGCAGCGGCGGCACCGCGUCCGGUCCUCGAGCGUAUGGGGCUUUGUCACCCGCUCUGUAGGCCCGGCCGGCGCUUGCCGAUCAACCCAAAUUUUUAUCCAGGUUGACCUCGGAUCAGGUAGGGAUACCCGCUGAACUUAAGCAUAUCAAUAAGCGGAGGA
rnacentral:misc_RNA from 1 species